UCAGAAGCCUGAAAGUGCCUUGGCUCAGUAAUCCCAGGUUAAUGAAGUUACCCAAGAGCCCCUAAGAUGUGCUCAGGGACACCCGUGCCAGCUGUUUGUCUGCAGCCUUGAAAACAAGUGGGCCCAGCGUGGAUUUUUCUGCAGGGUUAGAUGAAUGAUGGCCAGGGGGCUACACGUUCCUAAAGGAUGCCCUUGCCCUCUUGGACAUGGAAAG
rnacentral:lncRNA from 1 species